rnacentral:piRNA from 1 species
UAGCUUGCAAGUCAACUGAGGGAAUC